GACGAACGCUGGCGGCGUGCUUAACACAUGCAAGUCGAGCGGUAAGGCCCUUUCGGGGGUACACGAGCGGCGAACGGGUGAGUAACACGUGGGUGACCUGCCCUUAGCUCUGGGAUAAGCCUGGGAAACUGGGUCUAAUACCGGAUAUGACUCCAUGACGCAUGUUGUGGGGUGGAAAGCCUUGUGCGGCUAGGGAUGGGCCUGCGGCCUAUCAGCUUGUUGGUGGGGUGAUGGCCUACCAAGGCGACGACGGGUAGCCGGCCUGAGAGGGCGACCGGCCACACUGGGACUGAGACACGGCCCAGACUCCUACGGGAGGCAGCAGUGGGGAAUCUUGCGCAAUGGGCGAAAGCCUGACGCAGCGGCGCCGCGUGGGGAUGAC
rnacentral:rRNA from 1 species